rnacentral:rRNA from 1 species
UGGGGAAUAUUGCACAAUGGGCGCAAGCCUGAUGCAGCCAUGCCGCGUGUAUGAAGAAGGCCUUCGGGUUGUAAAGUACUUUCAGUCGGGAGGAAGGUGUCAAGGUUAAUAACCUUAGCAAUUGACGUUACCGACAGAAGAAGCACCGGCUAACUCCGUGCCAGCAGCCGCGGUAAUACGGAGGGUGCAAGCGUUAAUCGGAAUUACUGGGCGUAAAGCGCACGCAGGCGGUUGAUUGAGUCAGAUGUGAAAUCCCCGGGCUUAACCCGGGAAUUGCAUCUGAUACUGGUCAGCUAGAGUCUUGUAGAGGGGGGUAGAAUUCCAUGUGUAGCGGUGAAAUGCGUAGAGAUGUGGAGGAAUACCGGUGGCGAAGGCGGCCCCCUGGACAAAGACUGACGCUCAGGUGCGAAAGCGUGGGGAGCAAACAGG